GAAGGAAGAACACUGGAGACAACUUUUCAUAAAAUAAAUACUGCUAUAUUCAUGCCAGUGAACAUUGCUGCUAGCAGCAAAUUGCCUCUAUGUUGUUUUCUCAAUUCUUCCAUGGUACAUUCACAGAUGAAAUUAGAAGGUCUGAGACAGAAUAAAUAAUAAAUACAAGAUAAAAAAAAGAAGACCACAAACAUCUUGGAGGAUUUUAGGAUAUGAAAGGAAUAACCUAAGAAAGAAUUUUGGAGUUAAUACAACUGUGAUAUAUUUAUCUCUUUUACCUAUGACACAUUGGCAAACAAGAAUUCAAAAUGGAACAAAAACCACAGAAACAGAAAAACAGAAGCAACAUAAGUUCAAGUUUACUCUGGACAUUUCUUAAUAAAGAAAUGUCACUGAAUAUUAA